UGAUCAAGGACCACCUGGCUGUGCAUAGCCAGUGGAGAACCAGGAGACUUACUGAAGGAUAAACUCUCCACUUUACAGCCUGCCACUGCAGCAGGAAAUGUUUUUCCAGGUUAUGGUUUUACUAUUAGUAAUACUGGUGCUGUAUAAUACAGGAUCACCCAACAGUACUAAUUCGACCAGGAUGGAUGCUUUGUGGAUGCGCAACUUACUCCUGUUGUCUCUUUAGCUGAAGCAGCCAGUAUGCUGGUUGUGCUGCCUUUAUGAUUUUAUGCCAGCUGCAUAAGGACAGGCAAUACUCAAUCCGGCACACAGCCUGCCAGGAGAAAGGUGUUUUUCAGAACAGCUGGAACAAAUGUGAAACCUGUGGGGUCAGUCUGAACCAGGGUAGCCAUUUGUUUCACCUGCAUAGUAGUGGGUUUUUUGUGGUCAGGACUAGGUGCUUAAAAACAGGCUUGCCAUCUGAUUGAACCAUGACCUCAGUAAAAUCCCAAUUUGUGCUUCUGGCUGGAGAGUCAGUGUCCCCCCAUGAUCACCCUGUUCCCUGCUGCAGAGCUGAGCUGUGCCUUACAAGGCAUUUUGUGGUUUUUGUUGUCGUGCUGAUGGUUCAAGGCUGCCAUAGUAAUUUUAAACCCUAAGGUAGAGAGAAACCAAAUUCCGCCCCCCCCCAAAAAAUGGCCUUGUUUGGAACUUGCUUUAGGGUUUGAAAAUUUUUAACUAGUUUUUUGUAUUCCUGAUGUAAUGCCGUUAGAGACAUCAACAUGGCACCAGGCAGCACUCCAGAAAGCUGGCUGACUUGUCAGGGCACUGGAGGCAAUGUAGCCCCAUUAGCACUGAGCUCCGCCUGCGUUAAUGAAGCCCUGCUAACGAACAACGUUGUGCUAGGUAGCACACCCUUGUGUCAGUAGAGUAACCAACCAAGAUAAAUUUUGAAUAUUCUUUAAUAGGGUUUUCAAAUGUCUUUUGAUAUUUUUACUGAAAAAUACAGGUAUAUGCUACCCUGCUUGAUACUCUUUCUCUUUCCAUUGCUUGAAGAAUGUAGCUGGCCUGUUUGCAAUUUCUGGGUAACAGCUUAACACCAACAUUAAAACAUUUUUUUCAGGAUUUAUGAUGUUCUAUCAAGCUAGGCUAUCUGACAUAAUCAUGUAAUUAAAUAUCUAGUUCUUUCAUGAUGCUUUAAUCAAAUAUCAGCCCUCCUUAGGGAGCUUAAGAAGAAGGGAAGUGCAGAAAGCAGGAAUAACUCCCUGCAAGUCACCCCCCAAGCCAGGGGCCGGGGCUCGGGGGAGAAAUCCCAGCCUCAAGUACUGGCCCAGGGAUUUUGUGAGGGGGCGGAAAAUGCCGGGGUGACAGAAAUGAGAACGACGGCCCAGCUGCACUGCGGGUCUUGGGUUGCUCGGGCAGGGAGGAGCUGGCCUCACGACCACUGUGUGCCAGCAGGCUCAGGUGGGUGACUCCGGCGCUCCGCAGGUGCACCGAGGCGGGGGGGGAUGGGGACAGGCCCUGUGGGGCCCCGGCCCUGUGAGGCACCAGGGGGCCCGGCCCCGUGGGGCCUGGUGGCCAUGGCGGUUGCGUGGCAAGGUGGGAUGGCGUGGCCUCCCCCGAGCUGCAGGAAAAGCUCAGCGAGAGCUGAGGAAAAACUUUAAAUGGGCCAUAGCCUGAAGAUGUUAUACUCUCCCUGGCUGACAGCCUCGGUCUGGACACCGGCCAGGGAGGACGAGAAUGGGGCCCUUGGGGUCUGAAGAUACUAACAAAAUAAAUAACUCCGACCGCAGCGCCCCCUUCCACUCCCCUCAGCACAUUCCGCGGAGGAGCCGGCAGCACCCUUCCUCUCCCGCUGCCUCCUGAGGUAAAUCAGAUGCACCGCGUCUGCUUCGUAUUACUAAAAGAGGGAAACAACAACAAAAAAAACCCCAAAACCAAUGUAAACACUUGUACAGUUGCUGCGGAAACUGGAUAUAACCAGGUUAUUCAAAGGGAAAAAAUUAAGCCAUCCGUAUAUGUCAAGUUUGCCUUCACAUCUGUUAAUUGUAAGGGGAUGAUCUUGGAAAAAAGAGAAGUCAUGGUUUAGGGCCUGGUUCAGCAAAGCCUGUAAAUGUGUCCUUCACAAAACCAGGCUUAAAUCUAUCUCUUUUCAAUGAAGCCCUCACACAUGCUGGUGCUCAUGGAAAUAAAACAUGUUUUUCAGGGCUGUGCUGCGGGAGGAGAGCCAGCCUCCAUGGUGGGGCUGGAGCUCGACAGUCUGUGUCCUGUGAAGCUGUGAGGGCAUGCCAGUCUGCCCUUAGCCAAGAAAUUAUUAUCGUUGUAGUUAAAGAAAGAUGAGGCUGCAACUACUUUUUCUGAGGAGGCCGGUGUGACCAAUGAGAAUGUAUACUGGAUGAGAUACAAGUGAUGACUGCAUGAAUCCUGAUGGACCCCCGUGUGAGAAAAUCUGCAGAAACAAAUGUGAAAAGCCCUUUCAGACACUGAAAUCCUGUCCCUGUCAAGGUAGUGAAAUACAGGACUACUCAUAUAUCUACUGGUUGAAAAACUUGAUACUCUGAUGGUAGCAAGAAUUGCCCUGUCUCUUUCGACCAAGUCUGCAAGCUUAUCCAAAAGAUGGCC